rnacentral:rRNA from 1 species
GACGAACGCUGGCGGCGUGCCUAACACAUGCAAGUCGAGCGAUGAAAUCCCUUCGGGGAUGGAUUAGCGGCGGACGGGUGAGUAACACGUGGGUAACCUGCCUCAAAGUGGGGGAUAGCCUUCCGAAAGGAAGAUUAAUACCGCAUAAUAUUAGAUUUUCGCAUGAAGAGCUAAUUAAAGAAGCAAUUCGCUUUGAGAUGGACCCGCGGUGCAUUAGCGAGUUGGUGAGGUAAUGGCUCACCAAGGCGACGAUGCGUAGCCGACCUGAGAGGGUGAUCGGCCACAUUGGAACUGAGACACGGUCCAGACUCCUACGGGAGGCAGCAGUGGGGAAUAUUGCACAAUGGGGGGAACCCUGAUGCAGCAACGCCGCGUGAGUGAUGAAGGUCUUCGGAUUGUAAAGCUCUGUCUUUUGGGACGAUAAUGACGGUACCAAAGGAGGAAGCCACGGCUAACUACGUGCCAGCCGCCGCCGUAAAAC